CCUGGCUCGCCGUAAGCAGCUCCUGCUUUGCCGCUUUACAGCGAGCCAGGGAGGGGCGGACGGGAGCCACGGUUCCCCCUCCUUCCCUCCCUGGUUCGCUGUAAAGCAGCAAAGCAGGAGCCACUUACGGCAAGCCGGG